UGUUAGUGCAGUGAAUAAGGUAGUAAGUUUGGGUAACCAGAUGGAUGAGCCGUCAUUGACUUAGUGUGACCCUGCCGAUAUAGAUUAAGCGCACUAACA
rnacentral:sRNA from 1 species